rnacentral:lncRNA from 1 species
CCUCUUCCGUCAGUUUUCCGUCAAGCUCCGUUAACCGGAAACUGACAGAAGAGGUAAAACAAAUGAAAUAUUAGAGUUAAGCAUAUUAAAUGUCUAUUUUAGGAGUCUGGGGGUUAAGUGAAACUCGCCAAAAGUUCAGGAGUAACAAUAUAAUUUACCCAAAUUUUUAUUAUAAAUUAUUUUUAUAUUAUCUUACACUAUUUAACCCUCUCUCUCUCGCGCAGCGUUUCUCUCUCCUAAAUUGACCGACCCCCCUCUCUCCCUGUUUCUGCCUCUCUCCCUCUCUCUCUCUCUCUUUCUGCUAUCUCUGCUCCUCUCUCUCUCUCAAUAUCUCUCCCAAUCUCUCUCUAAAACAGAUCCUCUCUCUCUCUAUCUCCCCAAUCUCUCUCUAAAAUAAAUCCCCUCUCUCUCUCAAUAUCUCUCCGAAUCUCUCUCUCUAAAAUAGAUUCUCUCUCUCUCAAUAUCUCCCCCAAUCUCUCUCUAAAACAACUUUAAAAUACCUCUCUUUCUCUCUCUCAACCCAUCUCUAUAUCUCUCCUCUGUCUCUCCCCAAGUUUUAGCCAAUAAUUCAUUUUUUUAAUGUAAAAUUAAUCUUUUUUUAUUUUUUUUCUUUUUCUUUAAUUAUUUUUUCUUAAUUUAUGGAAUAAAAAAAUUACAGGAGCGUGGGGCGGCCCGCGGUGUGGCGUGGACACGCUGGAGUGCGGGGCGCAGCGCGGCGUGGGGGACACCGCUCUCUUUGUUUUUUUUCCCUUU